UGCGCUUCCACAUGUAGGCUUGGACUACUUUUAAAAUUCUUAGCUUUUAUUAGGUUUUGCAUCUUGUUAUUCCAGCUGAGGAGUUCCAAAUGUUUCAGAAGCAUGCUGAAGCAAUGAAAUGAUCCCACUUAGGACCUGAUCAUUCCCUGAGAGCCACACUUCCCUAUAAAGGCAGGAGGGACACUGGAGCAAGAUGAUUGGACAAUAAGACUGCAAAUUCUACAUACUGCAAAUGCAAAUGGGGCACUCAAUCUGCUCUCGGUUUCACAGUUGGACAGAACAUGGAGAUGCUCAGUUCAUGAAUGGACAGUCUUCAGGGAGGAACUGUUUAGAAAAUGGCCCUGGGCUGAGCAUAGCUUAGAAGUCUGUUCUGCUUAGUUAGGUUGGUCAUGACUUUUAAAAUCUACCUUUUAAAGUGUGCAGGCUAACACUUCUGCCUGCUUAAGUGAUUUAAUGGUUUCCUCAGCUCUGGAGUGGUAUCUGAGACCAGGAAGGACACUGGUCAGCCAGAAUCUGUUGAUCACUUGCCAGAGACAAGGAAAGCAGGUAAGGCUGGGGCAUGAAACUACUGGGUGAUAUUCUUAUAACUUUGUUCUCUGAAUCUCAGUGGGAACCAAAGUGUUUUCCCUUUAUCAGCACCCUGUGACUCAAGGGGGAAGUGAGACAGGAAAGGAGGGGGAGGUUGUUUUGCUUUUCUAGUAAAAUGUCCUGUUCCCAAAGUUCCAAAAAGAAAAUCUUGGAAACUCAUAUUAGUUUAGUGGAUUGGAAUACAUUGUAGAAAAUGAAGUGUAGAGGUGUUAGCAGCACCUUUUCCAGGAAAAAAAUCAAGAAAUUCAUGGCUCUGGGCAGCAACUGGUGGUGGUUUUUAUAAAGAAGUUUAUCUACCCUGCAGUCUGGGAAAACAGUCUCCAGAAGACUGUCCUCACAUCAUUUACCAGCCCCAAGUUCAGGGUCUCUAGGACCAUCACUAAUUUAUAUCAGCUGGUUCCAAAUUUGAGGAUCCCCAAAAACUCCUGCAGAUUUG
ensembl:lncRNA